AUUUAAGUAGUUUAUAUAGAAUAAUAGCUUGUGGUGCUAUAGGAAUGGGUUCAUCUUAAAUU
rnacentral:tRNA from 1 species